AAUUAGAAAGGAAUGCUUGGUCUAGUAUGUUCAAAUUUAUUUUAAAUCAUUGUAUUGACCAAAGAAAACACGUACAUCUAUUGGCUACAUUUGGCCUCUGUAUGAAUGACUUAUUAUCUUUGCUCUUAGAAAACUAGCAACGAGGUCCCUUCGUUUACUCAUCUGUAAUUUGGAAACCUAGUGAGAAUCCAUACUGCACAGUCUAGCACAGUGUUGUAAACCACUUGCAUAGUCCUCAUCUACAGCAUGGGAUGGCAUCGCCUGCCUCAUGGGAUUCUCACAAAGCUAACCUGCUUGGGAAUCUACCUGGCCUGCAGUAAGAGCUAUGCAAGUGACUGCCUCAUGGUAACGUCUGGAUCCCAGUGACACGAGAGGGAGGUCAUGUCUAGAUUCAUAUGGUGGAAAACUGGACAGCUUUCACACUGGGUAAAUGAUGUGACUCUCCCCCAGUGGAGCUUUGACUUGUCUAGUAAACUGAAAAUGAGAACUUGGCAAAUGAGUCCUUGCCAAGUCCAGGUAGGUCAUUUCCUUGGGGGAAAUACCAUGAGAGCAGUAGUAUCUACCACUCACAGUAUUUUAGUCUUUGGACUGAGCACAUCUUAUUUCAUUUAGAAGUGGGUGGUGGAAAAUUCCUCCUACAAUAUGUAUGAUUCCUGGUUUCCACUUCCAGCUGGUGUGUGGCAGAGACGAGUAUGGUGGGCAGUGAUGAGGCGCUGAGGGUGGAGAGCUGUGUCUGGCUCGACCUGCUCCCUGCCUGAGGUACUCCUUGAGGAUGGGUGGAACGUGACCUGAGCGUAAUGCUUCCUAGUCAUUUUGAUGGCAGGAAGAAAGAAGGAGCCACAUCUCUUAGAGCUGAACUGGGACUCUCACUAACCAGUCCAUAAGACACAGGGAAGAAAACACUGAUGAUGGAGAAGGAUCAAUGGCUUGGUGGCCAGAGCUAAGUUUAAUGUAGAGAAUUCUGAAGGGCGCAAGUGACAGACAGUGACAAGCUGAGGUCCAGGAGCCUCGAUCAGCUGAAAGAUACCAGGCCAGGGAAGCAGACAGGACCUCUGAUCUGAACAGGCACUGGGCACUGGAGCUAGAAGAUGCAUAUUUAAGAACAAAUGAGACUUCGACUGUGCUGGCACUGCUGGGCAGCGACAUCUAGCCAGCUUGUCCACAACACAUUCCAUAUGGAUUAAAGAUUGUUGGCCUGACACUAACUUCCAGAUCAAAGGACACUCCUAAAAAUAGCCUGUCUUUAAAGCUGAUGCUCGGUGAAUAAACAGAGUAGGCAAGAGGUCCCGGCUGAUUUGAUAGCAUAUUGUCUCAGCACAGAAACCCAUUUCCUGCCAAGGUCCUCAAGGCCAAGAGGCGCAGAGCAUCCUAAGGGAAGGUGAAGGACUGAGCUGUGCCAGCACUCCUGGCUGAGAUAAGCCAGACAGUGCACAGUCUGGCCCCGUUCCUGGGCUCCAGCAGAUGUGGCUGCUCCAGCUGCUGGAGGGAAGAGGAAGAGGGCGGCUUGGGAACAAUGGUCUAGGAGACCAGCCAAGAGGAAGGGAUGGCACCCAGCCAUCAAUGCAAAACACACCGACCUCAUCUCCAAACCAUGUACCUCCACACACUCUCUUCUCAGACGUGGACAGAGCUACUUCUUCCCCAAGUCAGUUGUUCAAGAACUCGCUGUAGAUUUCUGGUACAAUUCCAAAGGCAAGGAAUUGAAAGAAAGGAUCAACGCUUCAAUGCCUAUGUUCUUUAGACCAACCAUUCUGCUCCACGCUCUGAAUUCAUCACUAAUUUAGUCUUUCGCGUGACCUCGUGAGGCAGAUAACAUUCCUCCCUCCUCCUCUACUGAUGAAGCAGCUAUGAGGCGGGGGCACAGCUUCAGGUCAAAGUGUGGCAGAGUCUGUGGGGUUCUAACACCCGGCUUUCUGCAUGUCUUCAUGUCAUGCAGGGCAGAGGGAGAGACCCCUGACAGAGGCUGAGCAGGGCAGCCAGCAUCUGGGCUGUCUCAGGCUUAGAAUCGAGAAAAUUCGGAAAACUCAGGAGAAUCCACAUGCUACCAACCUGUUC